CUAGGAGAACCGAAAACAGUUCUAGACAGACCUGGGGUUUUAUAGCAGUUUUGGCAGUCAACUUCAGCUUGUCGCUGAGCAGACUGGCUGCCGUGGCCCGCCAGCGGGGGACGCCAGGCCGCCUCCCCCAGCGGCACGCAGCCACUCUCCUAAUUAGAUCGUUUUCCCCCUUGGUCCCAGGAAGAGGGGUUCCUGGCAGAAAGG
ensembl:misc_RNA